UACGGAGGGUGCGAGCGUUGUCCGGAAUCACUGGGCGUAAAGGGCGCGCAGGCGGCGCGAGUAGUCAACGGUGAAAGCCCGGGGCUCAACCCCGGGUCGGCCGUCGAUACUCUCGUGCUUGAGCACUGUAGAGGCAGGUGGAAUUCCGGGUGUAGCGGUGGAAUGCGUAGAGAUCCGGAAGAACACCGGUGGCGAAGGCGGCCUGCUGGGCAGUAGCUGACGCUGAGGCGCGACAGCGUGGGGAGCAAACAGG
rnacentral:rRNA from 1 species